rnacentral:lncRNA from 1 species
GGGGGGAACUGUUGGCUCUUCUUGUUUUUUUCCUGAAAUCCAGCUCACGGUCUCCCAAGGGCACCCUUUCUGCAGCCAUGAGGGCCGAGGCUGCUUCUCUGAAAAUGAUUUUAAACACGCUCAAGCAGAAUGAUGAAGCCACUGGUCCCUCCGCUGUUUCAUUCCCAUCCUCAGCAGAAGACCCGUCAAUUCAUGCCAAGGUGACCUCUAACCAGCCACUGGCAAGACCCACUCUCUCUAGUCCACCAUGGGACCGCCCAAGUCUUUCUUUUUUAUGCUAUUUCUUCUCUUUCUUUUUAGGGCGGCACCUGCGGCAUAUGGAAGUUCCUGGGCUUGGGGUUGAACUGGAGCUGCAGGUGCCAGCCUACCCCACAGCCACAGCAACACCAGACCCAAGCUGCCCCUUUGACCUACACCACAGCCUAUGGCAACGCCAGAUCCUUAACCCACUGAGUGACGCCAGGGAUCGAACCCACAUCCUUAUGGACACUUUGUCAGGUUCUUAACCCCCUGAGCCACGGGGGAACUCCCAAUGUUCUUGCAUUCAAACUUUCUCAAUCAAGUACAUUUUUUCUUUCCCCUCUUCUCUCCUGUGUUUCCUCUUCCCCCCUUUCUGUAACACUGCCCCUCCGUGAGCUAACAUUUCCCUGUAAGAAAAAUCUACUUCAGUUAGCAUUUUUUCUCCUCCCAGUGUUACUGAGAUAUAAUUGAUACACAGCACUGAGUAAACUUAAGGAGUACAGCACAUAAAAUGAAGUCCACGGGAGGUUUUUCUUUUUUUCCUUUUUUGUCUCGCCUUUGGCAUGGGGAUAUUUCCCAGCCAGGGCUCAAACCCGCACCACAGCAGAGACCUGAGCCACUGCCUUGGCAAUGCCAGAUCCUUAACCCACGGCACAGUGAGGGAGCACCCACAAUAGGUUUGGUGAACAUUCAUCAUCUCAUAUCAAUACAAAAUUAAGGAUAAAUAGAAAAAAAAUGGUCUCCUUGUGUGGAGAAUUCUUAGGAUUUCCUCUCUUAAGAAGGUUAUUUUUAGGGCCGCACCUGCGGCAUACGGAGGUUCCCAGGCUGGGAGUUGCAUCAGAGCUGCAGCCGCCGACCCACCCCACAGCCACGGCAACGUGGGAUCCGAGCUGCGUCUAUGACCUACACCACAGCUCACAGCAAUGCCGCCUCCUUCACCGGCUGAGCGAGGCCAGGGAUGGAACCUGCAUCCUCUGGGAUGCUAGUCAGGUGUGUUACCAUGGCGACACGACGGGGACCUCCCUCCCCCCCCACAGAACAAUGUUCAUGAGUCUUAUCAUGUUGUACAUCACGUCCCUUGGGCCUUCUUUAUCUUACCUAUAAAAGUUUGUCCCUUUCCGCUGCCUCCCCCACCGCCCGCCUCGGGAACCACACACCUGACCUCUUCUUCUAGGAGUCUGUUCGCUUCUGCAGCAUAACUGGUCUCCACCCCUGUGUUAGGUCUUGGCACACGGCAUCAUGAUUCGAUCCUUGUAGACAUUUCAGAGUGCUCCCCGUGACCCGUCGGGGGACCCUCUGCAAUCGUGCCGAGCUAUUACCUCGUCAUGGACUAUAUUCCUUAUGCUUUCCAAACCCCUGACGCAUUCGCUUGGUGACUGACAUGUUUCUCAGUUUUCAGGUCUGCACCCACCUGCCAUUGGUUAAAUACUGACGGUCUGUCAUACGCAUGUCCCCAUACGAUAGACUAUGCUAACUGUGUUGCCUAUUUGAGCGUGUUCAUGAGUGCAUGCAUUUUCUACGUCCUGAUACCAACGCGAGCAGACGGCCAGAAUUAUUCCAACCUGCACAUGCUAAAAUGUUUAGCCGCAGACUCCUUCUAAUAUCAUGGGGAAGCCAUGAAUACAGUUGAGGGCACAGCCAUCAAAAGGACCCUGUGAGUGGUUCCUGUAUGAUGCGACCAGGGAGAGUGGCACCCAGGGAGAGUUGGGGGAAGCCAUGUCCCAUCCUCAAAUUAGACCAGUUCUUUGUUUAUGUCUUUAUUUUCUUUUUAAGGCCACACCUGCAGCACAUGGACGUUCCCAGGCUAGCAGGUGCAUCAGAGCGGUAGCUGCCGGCUGACACCACAGCCACAGCCACGCGGGAUCCGAGCCGCAUCCGUGACCAACACCUCAGUGCAUGGCAACGCCGGGUCUUGACGCACUGCGCCAGGCCAGGGAUCAAACCUGCAUCCUCACGGAUACUAGCUGGGAUCGUUAUUGCCAAGCCACAACGGGAACUCCCAAUUUUGCUUUUAGAGUGUACUUGUGUUGACGUGUCGCUUUGCAGCUUGAAAAAUAGAGUCUAAUUCAAUUAGGCCAAGGGAACGGAAGGUUUUUGAUCCCUGCUGUCUUUGACGUUCCCUCAAGUGGUGUUUGUUCUCCAGCUGAAGAAACAUCUUCUAAAGUGGACCCGGCAUGUCACGUUUGGUUCUGCCCCCGGAGCCCCCCUGGUGGUGCUCUUUGUAUUUCAAAUCUAACCAAGGUUGGGGAAGAAACCUCAUCACUGUCUGUUUUUCUUAUGUUGAAAGAAACAAGAGGGGUGGCAGAUCCUUCCAAAAGCCAGUUUGAAUUUCCUAUGCGACACAAUGCAGCCAUGGGCCAGCUUCCGUUACAAGGCUGAGCAGCCCGGGUGUCAGGACAACAGAGGGGCAGCCAGAGAUGCAUGUGGUGUAAGCCCAACUUUGUGAUGUCGCCUUACUUCCCGUGUAGCCCCUCACGCCCAGGGGUCCAGUGUCCUCACCCCCAGAAGCUGGAGACAGCAAAUGUGUGUCCUUCUAAAGCUUCUGAGUCUGUGAUGUUUUGUUAUACAGGCGCGGUUGGCUAAUACCAGCCAGAAGCCACCGAUUCAGCCAGAACCAGACACCAGCGUGAGAAAUCAGGGGCUGCCCCAUGGAGCUCCCAUUGACGCCCAUCGGAAACAAAUCCGACGAAUGUCCACAAGGAUGUGGGUUCGAUCCCUGGCCUCGCUCAGGUGGGCUAAGGAUCUGGUGUUGCCCUGAGCUGUGGUGUAGGUCACAGAUGGGGCUCGGAUCCCGAGUUCCUGCGUCUGGGGUGCAGGCCAGCAGCUGUAGCUCUGCUUUGACCCCUUGCCUGGGAGCCUCCACAUGCUGCAUUUCCACUUUGAAUCCAAGCUUCUCUCUCACACCAGCAAAACCUAGGAGCUAUCUAAGCACCAGAGUUUACACAUGGUUCACUAGCCCAUGUUCUAAGACGUCACUGUCAGGAAAAACCAUUUGGAUGCAUGUCAGAAUAAGCUGGAUAACGGCAUUUGGGGGAAAAAAAGAGAAAAAAAAAACAUGACCUGAAAUAACCCCUAAACAUUUCUUUUUCUUUUUUUAAAGAAUGGAAUGAUUUUAUUUAUUUACUUAUGGGCUGCACCCACAGCACACAGAAAUUCCUGGGCCAGGGAUCAAACCCUCGCCACAGCAAUAACCAGAGUCACAGCAGGGACAAGGCCGGAUCCUUCACCGGCUGAGCCACCAAGGGACUUCGAAACAUUUCUUACCGAAUUCACAUGUGCAUCAGGAAACUUGUAAAUGAAUCAGCUGAAAGCGACGCCAUGAAAAUUCCUGGCACUGUGGUAAUUUUAAAUUGCCCUGUUCAAAUUUUUUUUUAGUCUAAAGACCGUCUCAUUUUCUUUCUUAAGACAGAAUAAGAUCAACAAACCGUAGGAGAAACAGAUGAAUUAUACCGUCAGAAACAAGUGAUGGCAGAAACAAAAAGCCGUGGACUCAAUUCCACGAUACAGCAGCUGCAGGCUUUCUAAUACUGGAGGAGUAGCAUAAAUUUGAUCCUUUAAAGCCACUUAAUCCCCCUCAACUGCAAUCCCAAUUCCUGCUUUGCUGUUUUGUUGUGUUUUAUCAUUCCAUUGUCCUAAAUUGCUUCAGGGAACUAGAAUGUAGCCUGGAUGCUUCAUCCAAUGCAGCUAUAUUCAUCUUCUGAUGACCUUCUCAAUAAAUAAACAUUUUCGUUUUGGAUAAGGGUUCCAGACCACAAUUAUACCUCCCAGCAAGGGCUGUCAUACAAAUUAAUGUCAUCACUAUUUGCUUAAGUUUUAAUUGAGGUAACACUGGUUUAUAACAUUAAAUAAAUUUCAUGUGCACAGCAUGUUUCUGCUUCUGUGUACACGUCAGCCUGCUCACCACUAAAAAUUUAAUUUCUACCAGUCACAAUAUAUCUGGUCCCUCUUGCCCCCUCCCCUCUCAUAACCACUAAGAGGUUCUCUGAAUCUACACGUUUGUUUUUGUUCAGUUUGUUUGUUCCUUUACUUUGGCUUUUUUGGGGGAGGGGUUGCUUCUUUAUUCGUUUUUUAUAUUCUGCAUACGAGUGAAAUUAUGUGGCAUUUUUUUUCUUCGUCUGACUUAUCUCACUCAGUAUAAUGCUCUCAAGGUUCAGGCAUGUUGAAAAUGGCAAGAUCGCAUUCUUUUUCAUGGCUGAGUAAUAUUCCGCAGCAUAUUGUUAUAUAUACACCACAUCUUUAGCCACUUAUCUUUUGCUGGACAUUUAGUUUUCUUCUGCAUCUUGGUUACUGUAAACAGUGCUGCUGCUGUGAAUAUUAGGGGGCACAGAUUUUUUUUCGAAUUGCUGUUUUUCCCUUUGGAUAAAUAGCCAGAAGUGGAAUGGCUGAAUCCAAUGGUAGUUCUAUUUUGAAUUAACUUAACAGUCUCCAUACUGUUUUCCACAGUGGCUGCACCAAUUUACAUUCCCACCAACAAUACACAAGGGCUCCCUUUCUUCCACAUCCUCACCAACACCUGUUAUUUAUUGCCUUUUCGAGUCACCACAAUUUCAAACAUCAAUGGCUUGGGAUGUCGCAUCCUUAGAGGGAAAUUUAGGGGGAAAAUAUCAUGCAUAUCUUCAGGUAUGCAAUUAUUUAGCCAACAUUCACUAAAUGUUUCUUAAUACUAGGCACUGGAUGAGACGUUUUAUUCACUCAAUCGUUUGCUUAAUGGUUCAAGAAUUGUUGGGAGUUCCUGUCGCGGCUGAGCAGAAAUGAAUCUGACUAGCAUCCAUGAGGAGGCAGGUUCGAUCCCUGGUCUCGCUCAGUGGGUUACGCAUCCAGUGUUGUGGUGAGCUGUGGUGUAGGAUGCAGAUGUGGCUUGGAUCCCACGUUGCUGUGGCUGUAGUGUAGCAGAUGCAGCUCUGAUUUGACACCUGGCCUGGGAACUUUAGGUGUG